rnacentral:lncRNA from 1 species
AAUUGGAAGCACACAGGAGUCUACAAAAAGCCGAUCCCCUCCUAACCCAGACAACCCACUGCCAAGGGGGCAGUGUGGGAGUGCAGGGCACAAACAUGUCUGCCUUGAACUCCUCCAGAGAGUCCAGCAGAAGGGAGCCAUCUUCCACUCUGAGAUCCAGCUCGACCUGCACCUGGGCCGCUCCUCCUACUGUGCGCAGAUCUCAGAUCUUCCUACUGGAACCCCACCUAUCAAGGCUCAAAGGGGCUCACAGCAUCCAAGUGGCCCCUCCUGUGUAAACUCAGGGCUGAAACACAGCGAGGCUGGAGGGGCUGCAGUGCUCAGGCAGCGUCCAGCAUUCUGUGCCCACUGUUAGUGAAUGGGACUGUGCACCAUGGACCACUCUCCUGAGAACCUUCCCUCAUCUAUGAUAACGCUUAUGUUGUCUCAAGCCAUGAUCCUUUAUGAAGAUAAUAACUAUAAAAUAUUCUGUCACAGGAGGAUCAUUUCCAUAGCAGUGAUAUGCGACCCCACCAACAGAGGAAUGGACCAAGCACAUGGAGGAUGGGGCUGACGCACAGUGAACCACUUACUACAACGUGGAUGGAUGCACAUGGAGAAUAACACGCGCAAUAAGCUAAAGAGGAAGGGAAACGCUGGACAAUGCGGUUUGAAUGGCAGAGGUUGGAUGUGCAGCACUGUGGUGGUGGGAGAGACGAAGAACCAUAAGGAAGAGUUGGGAAGAUGCUGAUCAUAUAGAGACGACAACACUUCAGCUACGCAGCAGAAGUCCAGAGAUGCACCAUGAGACAUGGUGACUGUGAUUAAUAGUUUGUAAAGACUAAGGAGCAUAGACAGGAAGUACACUCAUUACAAAAAUGGCAAUUCAGUCGUUCCGAUGCACACAAAGUCUCCAAAUUAUCACAGUGUCACCAUGUAGUCCAGCCAGCCCAGAGCUCGUCCUGUGGAUCAAGCUGCUACGCAAGUCACAGGGAUCUCCUGCUUCUGCCUCCCAAAUUCCAAGAUUGAAGCCUAGCUUUUCUUUUUGAGCCGCUUUCUUAAACAUCCACCAGCAAUCGCAUUGUUUCUCACACUCCCUUGUCCUGCAGAACACUGAGGGGAAUGAACCCAAGAUGGCCUCACAGAGAACAACUAAAGCACACCAGGCCCUUAGGAUAUGGUGGCACUGCACUAACAGGCUUCACCACAGGCAUCCUAAGGUUCCUGACAGGCCUGGAGAGCCUGAGGGAACAGAACCAAGACUCCAACCCGAUACCACAGAUCCACACCCACUAUCAGCCAUGGCAUUGCUCAUCUGGACCUGGCCAACAUUACCCAUUACACACACACACACACACACACACACACACACACACACACACACAGAGUCAGAAAAUCACUAGCUCUCAAAGAUGCCAAAUUCAGUGCUAUCACUUUUCCACUCCCAAAGUUCUCAAGAGUGAACAGAAAUCGUCUACCACCUACAUUUUCCCCUGUACAGAACACCUAUUAAACACAUCCCAUCUAACCUUAA